rnacentral:rRNA from 1 species
UACGAAAGGGGAUAGCGUUGUUCGGCAUUACUGGGAGUAAAGCGCACGUAGGCGGCCUUGUAAGUUGGGGGUUAAAUCCCGGAGCUCAACUCCGGAACUGCCUCCAAAACUACAAAGAUCGAGGAUGCGAGAGGAUAGUGGAAUUCCGAGUGUAGAGGUGAAAUUCGUAGAUAUUCGGAAGAACACCAGUGGCGAAGGCGCCUGUCUGGCGCAUUUCUGACGCUGAGGUGCUAAAGCGUGGGGAGCAAACAGG